rnacentral:rRNA from 1 species
UCCAGACUCCUACGGGAGGCAGCAGUCGAGAAUCAUUCACAAUGGGGGAAACCCUGAUGGUGCGACGCCGCGUGGGGGAAUGAAGGUCUUCGGAUUGUAAACCCCUGUCAUGUGGGAGCAAAUUAAAAAGAUAGUACCACAAGAGGAAGAGACGGCUAACUCCGUGCCAGCAGCCGCGGUAAUACGGAGGAUGCGAGCGUUAUCCGGAUUUAUUGGGUUUAAAGGGUGCGCAGGCGGCACGGCAAGCCGGGGGUCAAAUCGGGGGGCUCAACCCCGCCCAGCCGUCGGAACUGCCGGGCUAGAGUGGGCGAGAAGUGCGCGGAAUGCGUGGUGUAGCGGUGAAAUGCAUAGAUAUCACGCAGAACUCCGAUUGCGAAGGCAGCGCACCGGCGCCCUACUGACGCUCAGGCACGAAAGCGUGGGUAUCGAACAGGAUUAGAUACCCUAGUAC